GAUGAACGCUGGCGGCAUGCCUAACACAUGCAAGUCGGACGGGCAGAGGUGUUUCUAGUGGCGGUCGGGUGAGCGACGCGCAAGAAAGUGACACGGGGAGGGGAAACACAGAUGGAAACGGUAGCUAAUACACAGCAGGCCGAGGAGCAAAAGGUAGAAUCAGCCCGAGGAGGGGCUUGCGUAUGAUUAGUUUGUUGGUGAGGCAAUAGCUUACCACGGCGAUGAUCAGGAGCUGUUCCGAGAGGGUGAACGGCCACACUGGGACUGAGCCACGGCCCAGGCGCCUACGGGAGACAGCAGGAGGGAAUUUUCCGCAAUGGGCGAGAGCCUGACGGAGCAAUGCCGCGUGGAAGUAGAUGGCCCACGGGACGUAAACUGCUUUUCCCGGAGAAGAAGCAAUGACGGUAUCUGGAGAAUAAGCACCGGCUAACUCUGUG
rnacentral:rRNA from 1 species